UCGUAACUAACCAAUCUCCCCCAGUGAAUCUUAUUCUUUGAGCGCCGAUAAGAGCUCUGUAACGUCUCAACAAAUCAUAAAUCAUUCUUUUACUCUAGAGUUUCAGUGAUUACUCCACUCCGCCCACUUGAAGCAAUCAAGCUACCGCUUCGUCUUCCACCGUAACCGGCUGAAGCCUCUACUAUAAAUGCCGGACCUUUAUGUGAUGUUUAGUUCAACUCAAACGAUAUCAAGAAUCAUACUUUUUACCAGCAAACGAUUUCAAUGGCGUCUUCCUACACUCUUCUUGCCGACCUGAAAGCCGUCUGAUGCUCUAACACUGCAGCGGUUCGUCUGCUAAGGUUUUGGGAGGCCAGAAAUCUCUAAAGUUGCGUUUUGAUUUCGUUUUGAUUUCGUUUUGUUUUCUAGGCUAAUUUGGCUGCGACUAAUUUGUGUUAAUAUUUUGUCCACAAAAAUCUUAAUCUAAUCUGAAAGAAUUUGUGACGACGCUCUGUUAAACCACCGCGGUACCGCUUCACUUCCACUUUGGAGUGUCAGGAUAUAACUUUCUGUAAUUAUGACAUUCCGUGGAGGAAACCCACUAUGUCCUCUUCAACGUAUCUUCAGUUUUUCACAGGGAGCCUUCUCCAAAUCCCUCCAUUCCAGUGAUCUCAUAGAUCCCAAAAGAUGCUCACAGUCAGGUUAUUCACUGUAUCACACACUUGACGCAACCCUCAACCCGUCGUAGAUUAUCAUUUCCUGCCACACAUUUUAUUUGUAAAACAUAUCACUGCUGUAGUAUGAGUUUCUUAAAAAAAAAUUGUCUUGGCAUGUGCACAUGUAUCAAUCAGAUGUAGGCACUUGAGGACCUAGCUGGCUUAAGCGCCAAUUAUCAAUGGAAGCGAACCCUCCGGAUAGUGCCUGAGAUUUGACUUCUCUCUUUCUGUCUCA